UGUUUGUCGUCCCGCGGUUCCGAUUCGAUUCUUUUGCCGCCGAUUUCAACUUCCCAGUCGGCUCAUUUGUUUGAGUGUUUAUCUUUUACUCUUGCGAGGGAUUUAACAGUUGGUUUCUGCGAGUGGAUUUUUUUUUUUUUAAUCUGAUCGCCCUGACGCGACCGGUGGCUCGGAGUAUUCAGCUUCCGGUUUGUGGCGCGAUUUCUUAACAUUCUUUUUCUUUUUUUUUGCGAUUUUUCCCCUCGCUGAAUUUAGUCUGUCGGCUUUUCCCGCCCUCGGGGGUCACGUCCGCCACCCGCCCGUACGCCCACGCCUUUGUUUGCCCCUCGUUAGUUCCGCAAACCACGCCCACCUCAUCCGCGUCAUCCCGCCACGCUUGUGUUCUCUCGACGGCCACACCUCGCCGUCACGCACCUUCGUCGCGGACGGAGCGCGGCGGAGGCAGGCUGAACCGCCGCCGGCACCCCGAGUCCGACGACCACGACUGCUACGGCCGUUCCUGCUACUACGGCCGCUCCUACUGCUACGGCCGCUUCUGCUACUACGGCCGUACCUGCUACUACGGCCGCUCCUGCUGCUGCUACGGCCGCUUCUACUGCUGCUACUCUUCCAGCUCCUCCCGAGAGCCGAGACUGUGAAGCAGCUGCCCCGUGAGACUUCAAUAUGACCGAUACAUUGCUGGUGAAUCGGAAGGUGGAACAGAAGCAAGAGCAGACUGUGAAGAGGACAGAGGUAACAGCGCAGAGUUGAAAGAUUGAUGGUCAUCGUCCGGUGGACAUAAUACGCAGAUUAAAGGUAAAUUGAGCUCAG